ACUUACGGCCAUACCAUCCUGAAUAUGCCCGAUCUCGUCUGAUAUCGGAAGCUCAGCAGGGUCGGCCCUGGUUAGUCCUUGGAUGGGAGACUGCCUGGGAAUACCAGGUGCUGUAAGUA
rnacentral:rRNA from 1 species